UCCAGACUCCUACGGGAGGCAGCAGUGGGGGAUAUUGCACAAUGGGGGGAACCCUGAUGCAGCGACGCCGCGUGGGUGAAGGAGCGUUUCGGCGCGUAAAGCCCUCUCGGCAGGGAAGAAGGAGGACGGUACCUGACUAAGAAGCCCCGGCUAACUACGUGCCAGCAGCCGCGGUAAUACGUAGGGGGCAAGCGUUAUCCGGAUUUACUGGGUGUAAAGGGGGCGCAGACGGCAGCGCAAGCCAGGAGUGAAAGCCCGGGGCCCAACCCCGGGACUGCUCUUGGAACCGCGCGGCUGGAGUGCAGGAGGGGCAGGCGGAAUUCCUGGUGUAGCGGUGAAAUGCGUAGAUAUCAGGAGGAACACCGGUGGCGAAGGCGGCCUGCUGGACUGCGACUGACGUUGAGGCCCGAAAGCGUGGGGAGCAAACAGGAUUAGAUACCCCGGUAU
rnacentral:rRNA from 1 species